GUGAUUACCUAGCUUAAACAUACGAUCUCUUGUCCUGUCAUAAGUAUAUAAAUCUGUAAUCUAUGGUUCAGAUCCAAUUAUUUCCAGCAGAUUUUCACUCUGUCAAUCGUGAUAGGUCACUCAGGAGUGACACCCAUCGUAUGAAAUAGCACUGUAAGCGGUGGUCUAGUAAAUCGGGAAAUUUCAUCCAGAAACAGAAUAUGAAAUUCCCAACUCUCUAGAACAGUGCGACUCAAGUCCAAUAAAUGAUUAAUAAACUGACAUUUGUUUAAUGGGGAAUUCAAAAAUGCAAUAGAGUAUGGAAUUCCAUUUAAACUAACGAAGUGGUGCAUUUCUAGUAUAACCAGAAGUCCGCCAUAUUUAAAAAAAAUUUUACGUUAUACGGUUAUCUGUAUACAACUUCUAUUUUAAACUGUACCUUUUCAGAGAAUCAAAAGGUGUCGACUAAGAAGUACAUUUUUUUAACACUGUCUCAAACAACAUUUAAGAAAUUGUUGCGAAUAAUUCCAUUUAUGACCCGAAUGAAUGUGAGCAUUAUAAACUCUGUAAAGUAGCAAUUUCGACUCCACAACCUCGUGUAAUUUUCUCUCGUUAAAAACAGUCUAGUGAAAAUGUUCCACUUGAAACCAUUCUCGACGCAGCAGUAUUUUCGAUCCUCUAAAUAAUAUUGAUGGCUGAUUUUUUAGGAAAAAUGUACCAAGAUUCGUGGCGUAGCAGUAUAUGUUAUACGUUGGGUAAUCUUUAAUUUGUCUGCAGAAAUCACUAGGCGAAUCGAGUAGUUUAUUAAUCCCACUAAGAUUGCAUGCAGUCAUUUUGCCUUCUGUAUGAAACGCUUGGUGCGUUUUUGUGACUGUUUUUAUUGAGAUCACUUUCCACCUCAAAAUAGAUACA